GACGAACCGUCCAAACGUUAUUCGGAAUUACUGGGCUUAAAGGGUGCGUAGGCGGCGUUACAAGUCGGGUGUGAAAUCCCUCAGCUUAACUGAGGAACUGCGCCCGAAACUGUAGUGCUAGAGGGAGACAGGGGUAAGCGGAACUGAUGGUGGAGCGGUGAAAUGUGUUGAUAUCAUCAGGAACACCGGUGGCGAAGGCGGCUUACUGGGUCUCUACUGACGCUGAGGCACGAAAGCUAGGGGAGCAAAC
rnacentral:rRNA from 1 species